GCAGUAUAGAUACAGUGUAGGAGGUGCAGGAGGAGGUGCAGUAUAGAUACAGUGUAGGAGGUGCAGUAUAGAUACAGUGUAGGAGGUGCAGUAUAGAUACAGUGUAGAGGAGGUGCAGUAUAGAUACAGUGUAGGAGGUGCAGUAUAGAUACAGUAUAGAGGAGGUGCAGUAUAGAUACAGUGUAGGAGGUGCAGUAUAGAUACAGUGUAGGAGGUGCAGUAUAGAUACAGUAUAGAGGAGGUGCAGUAUAGAUACAGUGUAGAGGAGGUGCAGUAUAGAUACAGUAUAGAGGAGGUGCAGUAUAGAGUGUAGGAGGAGCAGGAGGAGGUGCA